rnacentral:snRNA from 1 species
CGGGGGCGAGGACGCGUUGUUGAAGGAGAAUAUGGCGAAAGAUGCUGACUACGGCACGUUCAGCGGCAACCACUUCCGCGCCACCCUCAGGUGGAACGCGAGUGUAGACCUCGACCUUCGUAUGGUGGUCAAGGGGCAGAGCCUUUUCAGAACCGACAAGGUGAUGCGCAUCAACUGGGGCGAAGAGAAAGACAGCGUCUUCAACUUGGAGGCAGACGAGCGCGGUGGAAACGACGGCCUCAAAUC